GGGUGACGAGUGGCGGACGGGUGAGUAAUGUCUGGGAAACUGCCUGAUGGAGGGGGAUAACUACUGGAAACGGUAGCUAAUACCGCAUAACGUCUUCGGACCAAAGUGGGGGACCUUCGGGCCUCACACCAUCGGAUGUGCCCAGAUGGGAUUAGCUAGUAGGUGGGGUAAUGGCUCACCUAGGCGACGAUCCCUAGCUGGUCUGAGAGGAUGACCAGCCACACUGGAACUGAGACACGGUCCAGACUCCUACGGGAGGCAGCAGUGGGGAAUAUUGCACAAUGGGCGCAAGCCUGAUGCAGCCAUGCCGCGUGUAUGAAGAAGGCCUUCGGGUUGUAAAGUACUUUCAGCGGGGAGGAAGGCGAUAAGGUUAAUAACCUUGUCGAUUGACGUUACCCGCAGAAGAAGCACCGGCUAACUCCGUGCCAGCAGCGCGGUAAUACGGAGGGUGCAAGCGUUUAUCGGAAUUACUGGGCGUAAAGCGCACGCAGGCGGUCUGUCAAGUCAGAUGUGAAAUCCCGGGCUUAACCUGGGAACUGCAUUUGAAACUGGCAGGCUAGAGUCUUGUAGAGGGGGGUAGAAUUCCAGGUGUAGCGGUGAAAUGCGUAGAGAUCUGGAGGAAUACCGGUGGCGAAGGCGGCCCCCUGGACAAAGACUGACGCUCAGGUGCGAAAGCGUGGGGAGCAAACAGGAUUAGAUACCCUGGUAGUCCACGCCGUAAACGAUGUCGACUUGGAGGUUGUGCCCUUGAGGCGUGGCUUCCGGAGCUAACGCGUUAAGUCGACCGCCUGGGGAGUACGGCCGCAAGGUUAAAACUCAAAUGAAUUGACGGGGGCCCGCACAAGCGGUGGAGCAUGUGGUUUAAUUCGAUGCAACGCGAAGAACCUUACCUGGCCUUGACAUCCACGGAAUUCGGCAGAGAUGCCUUAGUGCCUUCGGGAACCGUGAGACAGGUGCUGCAUGGCUGUCGUCAGCUCGUGUUGUGAAAUGUUGGGUUAAGUCCCGCAACGAGCGCAACCCUUAUCCUUUGUUGCCAGCGAGUAAUGUCGGGAACUCAAAGGAGACUGCCGGUGACAAACCGGAGGAAGGUGGGGAUGACGUCAAGUCAUCAUGGCCCUUACGGCCAGGGCUACACACGUGCUACAAUGGCGCAUACAAAGAGAAGCGAACUCGCGAGAGCAAGCGGACCUCACAAAGUGCGUCGUAGUCCGGAUCGGAGUCUGCAACUCGACUCCGUGAAGUCGGAAUCGCUAGUAAUCGUAGAUCAGAAUGCUACGGUGAAUACGUUCCCGGGCCUUGUACACACCGCCCGUCACACCAUGGGAGUGGGUUGCAAAAGAAGUAGGUAGCUUAACCUUCGGGAGGGCGCUUACCAC
rnacentral:rRNA from 1 species